AAGCUGGAUUCGCUAGUAAUCGCGCAUCAGCCACGGCGCGGUGAAUACGUUCCCGGGCCUUGUACACACCGCCCGUCAAGCCAUGGAAGCCGGGGGUGCCUGAAGUGCGCUGCCGCAAGGAGCGUCCUAGGGUAAAACCGGUGACUGGGGCUAAGUCGUAACAAGGUAAC
rnacentral:rRNA from 1 species